rnacentral:rRNA from 1 species
CAGUAGCCACGGGAACACGGAGGGGGCUAGCGUUGUUCGGAAUUACUGGGCGUAAAGCGCACGUAAGCGGCUUGGUAAGUUAGAGGUGAAAGCCUGGAGCUCAACUCCAGAAUUGCCUUUAAGACUGCCGAGCUAGCAGGUGAGAGAGGUAAGUGGAAUUCCGAGUGUAGAGGUGAAAUUCGUAGAUAUUCGGAAGAACACCAGUGGCGAAGGCGGCUUACUGGCUCAUACUGGACGCUGAGGUGCGAAAGCGUGGGGAGCAAACAGGAUUAGAUACCCGUGUAGUCCCUGUCUCUUAUAU